GCGCUCAAGGGCCGCGUAAGUCUCUGAACACUCGUGGGUAGUGCCGCCUGGCAGGACAUUGGGCAGCACACAAAGAUAUCGGCGUUUUAUUCCUGUUAUCUUCUGUUUUCUUUGUUGUCGUUCCUUGUUGCCCAUCGAACAUUUGCCGCGCUGCUUGCGUGGUGAGACAAGAACGUUGCAACCGUACUCCUAGCCCAAUGGCUGUGGUUGUCUUCGACAUGGGCGCGCUCGAAUCCUGGAAGCUGCGGUUGCGCGAGUUGGCAAAUGCCGGUGAUGGGUGCAAAGAGCAUGUUCUCUCGUGCCUCGAUGCACUCGAGCACCUGGGACGCACCGCAGAGCACGACUCAGUACUACCAGUGCCGAGGAACAACCUUGAAACUGAUCUUGCCGUCAUCAAUGCCGCCCCCUACACGCGCGUGAGCACUGGCACGCAACUGUGGACCGUACACCCCAUUCACUACACACAUCACGUACUCAAUAAGAUGAUGCGGGAGCGCCAGGUGCAAAGGCUUACUCGGCGUCUCGGUAACCUGGCAGCGGAUUUGCACAGCGUCGCGCACGACAUGUGGAAGGUCUUGCAAGCGUCCUGCAUCCGUCAGACGUCGACAGCCUCACAAAGGCUCUCUGAUGUGACAAGAGUAACAACUCUAGACAGGCCCGCGUCUGUAGCAACAGCACCGGGCUCCAUGAACGGCGCUUCGCCAGCGCUGUCACCGUCCACGUGUCGUACGCUACGCAGUCUUUUUGGGAGAUUUCCAGAUUUCGAGGCUGAUGUGCUGCUACACGGGUCGAGCCUGAACGCAUCGUCAGAAGCAACUACGGAGACUUCUGCGACUCCACCCCAUGCGCGGAAACAAGUCGACGCAUCUGUGCAGACCCCGCCGGAGUUCACGGCUGAGUCUACUGCCGUCGAUACUCCGCGAGAACGACUUCUAUUUCUGUGUCGUCGCUGCCGACAGGACGGUCGCGCCGGCUAUCAAGUGGACAAAAAUAGGAUGCAGCUCAAGCAAACACAUGACAUCGUCGCCUCAGUGGAGCGAACAGAACCACCACCAUCUCUGAAGAGUCCCACCCUGCAGUGCACUGUCUCGCGUGGUGCCCGUCCCCCUCUGCCACAAAUCGGCGGUACUCGGCGACCGCGAUGGUGAAGGCUUUCAAAUCUUUGAAGCUCAGUGAUGCACACAGAUGUACACAAAUCCGUCUUGCAUUGUAUUUUUUUUUCGUGAUGUUAUCCUCAACGCCCUUCAAGACGGGGGUGGAUGGAGGGCAACACCUCGCAAGGUGUAAUGUCUCAGAGUCUAGUGCCCAACUCUCUGGGCAAGCCACGCAGCCCCUCCCCCCUAUCCCGGCCAGAUGCCAGAGCGCUUCUGUUGGUGACAGGGUCAUGCAUCCAUGGCGUAGGGAGAGGUCAGAGCGAUGUUUACCGCUACGCACGUCGGCGAGGAGGCUCUGGGUGGCGCUGCGCUGGUGCGACGGCCGACAGAGAAGAGCCUCUGAGUGCACCUUCGCCGUGUUCGCCGAGCAGCACUUAUGUAGGUGUUCUCGGUCGGACUCAUUGGCUUUAUCACGGCCGCAUUCCAGGUGGAGGUGCUGUCGGUGGAAUGCUUGACGUUGCGCUUCCUCCGUUCCGAGAUUACCGUGCAUCUUCCCUCUGGUCACCGCCCGGAAGUGGUGACCAUACCUCCCUACGCUCGAACGCGCAUGCAGGGCAGUGAAGGUGUUCAGUACGGGUACGAGCCGACACUGGCGCAGGACGGGGAGCGCAUCUGCAGCCAAAGGCGAAGGCAGAGCACUGUGCUUGAACGACCUGCUGCAACUGAAGCAUUACCUUUGCGCGGCGCUCGGGUGAGGGAGUCAGCUGUAUAGGGCCUCAAGUGUAGAACGUGCAUCAUGGCCAGGUGCAGCGUACGGCCCCCUCUUGGGGUGCGCGUGCGCGAAGGCUUGGGCACACGCAGUCCUUCAGUUCCAUCAUUACUUUGAUUCCGCACGGCGUCUAUGAAGUUGCCGACCCACACCUUGCACUCAUGAGCAAAUAGUGACGUUGGCUGUUACGCCCUUGUCGGCUCCUUCUACACGAAGAACGGGCAUCAUACAUGUCUUGUCGCCACCACGGCGAGCCGCCUCUUAGCCCUGCAUACCUCCGUCAGCCUGUUUCUCUGGCUCGAGAACUUGUGAGCGCGUUGUAGCGAUGCGUGCACAAGUCCAAACGCCACGGGGACGGCGCUGAGAACGAGGAGUUUAUGUGUGUAGGGGUGGGUGGGGAGGGGGGUGGCGACGUCCGGCACGAGUACCUCGGCCAUGUUUCCCAUGACGACGUCCCCGAAAAAAAGGAAAAAAACAUGGGCGAGGUGCUUGCUGCCCGUCCUGUCGCUGCGCAAGAAAGCAGCACUCCCUACCGGAGGUGCUACGUGCUUGGCGUCCCCACACUCUUUGUGCGGUCUCGGUCAGCUAAGGACUGCGAUGCGGUUAGGAGUCUCGUACGGUACGGACUCAGCGCCACACACCUUGACCACAGCGCUACGGAGCAGAUAGUCUCGCUCUCGGAUGCGGGGAGGGGCGUUAGCACCAUCUCGAUUGUGAGCCGAUUUCGGAUCACUCUCAGCUGUCUAUUUCCCCGCACGAACAGCAUGUCAACCAAAUGUGCUGGAGUUCUCCAAAAGGGAUUGGCGUGCUUUGGUAAAUUGCCAUGCAGCAUCGUCGAUUGCAUCGCAUUUACGCCCAGUAAACCUUCAGCUUGCCCUAUGCGCCCAGUGCUCUCGGUUGUGUUAUGGGCAUAGCGGUCGCGCCGGCAGCUUUGGCGCAGAGCGCGCCGUUUUUUUUUUUUCACGCAGUUGUACGUUCCUGUUUUGUUCCCACUCGUGCAGCUCUGCAAGAUCAUGGGACUGAAAGUCGUUUGUGAUCUGGCGGCGAGCGUGGCCUCAGUGCAGUAUGUGCUGCAGCCGCCGUCUAUUAAGGAUAUUCUUCGAUGUGCUCUGUGAAGGAGGGCUAAACUAUCGGGGCCUUUGCGCUGUUGAAUGACCUGCGACGACAGUAUAUUUCUUCAUAUGUGGGGACCGUGGGAACAGCCGUCACGGGGCGUCUUUUUACCAACAACAACAAAACGAUCGAAACGCAAUGCGAACGUGCCUACGUGCGUCAGGCUUUUUCCACAACUCUCCGCUGUACGCGUGAAGUGUUGUGGCUGUCUUUACGACCUAUACAGGUACGGGAUAAUGUACUCGCCGUGCCGUUUGUUCUGUUUUCCGCGCUGCUUAACUUGUUGUAGCGUACAAACGAAGAAGGAAAGAAGCGCGUGAUGGGGCGAGGAUGCCUUCCUCCUUUAUCCUCCUUCCGGUC
rnacentral:misc_RNA from 1 species